AGGAGAUCUAGGCACUCCCGGUAAUCUUACCUUCCCUUCCCUCAUCUCUCCGUACCCGAGAGCCGGACCCAAAGUGGAUUCGAAAAUAGAGGGAAGAAGGAAGAGGAGAAGAAGAGAGAAGGGGAAGCGAAGCAACGCCAAGCUCUGCGAGGUCUGUGACCUUGGCGAAGAGAACCCCAAGGUCUAUCCUUUCCUGUCCCUAUUCGCAGCAGCAUUUCGUUCGAUCAACUGGCAACCUUGUAUUAUUUAAAGAACCCGAUGGAAUUGGAGUUAAAACUCGAGAAAGUUUGGAUCUUUUCGAUUCUUUUAGGGUCUCGUCUGAGGGUUUGAUCGAAGUAAUCCACUCUUUUAUCCAUUUUGUUAUCUGUGUAGGUUUCGCUUUGUUUUCCUUACUGAAAUGAGUUGCUGUUCAAUUCAAGACGUCUCGGGUGCUGCUAAUUGGUCACAGGUUUGUCCUUCGGUGGUCUUCUUGACGGAAGACUUUCUGAUGUUGCAUCUGGUUGUGAGUCGUGGGGAAAAUGGCUGAAAGGCAAAGUCAGAUAGCAGUAAGUUGGGUUCUCUUUCUGCUCUUCCCUUCACUUCUUCGGCCUACUCUGAUGGGGGCAAACAGCAAAAGAUGGGCAACAUGGAUGCUUUCCCCAAUGCUUUUCUUCCAGAAUAACAAAAGGUCUUUGCUGGAUUCGAUCGUGCAAAGAUAUAACACGAGGCAUCACUUUCAAGCAGUUUGGCUUGCUUUGAUGCGGUCCAAAAUUGGAGCUAUUUGUUGCUUCAUCGAACCUUCAUGGCGAUUAUUUCCAUAUCAAAGUUAAUAGUUUAAUUAAAGUUGAACCAAGAAGGUUGAUUCUGGAGGAGGGUUAUGGAGUACCAGCUUUCUUCUUCAAAGACUUUAUUAGGUGUCCAACUUUCUAGCCUCAUUGACCCUGGGCUCUUGUCAUUAUUGCCCCCUAUUCCAUGGCAUCUUAUGAAAUGGCAUAUAUUUGUGCAAGUUGGUAGAUUAAAUAUUCAGCAACUGAGCUCAUCUGUAAUCCACUGAGUCCUGGUAUGCUAUUAAGCAAUUAACAAGUGAUCAUGCUGAUGAUCAAGUGUAACUGAGGAACUGCCAAUUGUUUUGUACUCGACAACGUAGUUAUCAAUAACUUUGCUCCAAGAUAUUUUAGUUUCAAAGAUAGAGGUGGAAAUGCGUGGGGCCAAUCUACGUGUAUAAUAUCGGGUGUGCUCCGAGCCACAAGGUUUACCUGUUGAUGGUGUUGUAAUCAGAAUGUAGGGUAUGUAAUCCGACAGAGAUGAACACAAUUUCCUGUAUGAGAUGUUUUGAAGCUUAGAUAGCAUGUAUUUGUUUUUUUUUUUUUUCCUUUUCCCUUCUCAAGUCUUGAUAUCCUUGAAGGUUGGUCUUCUUUGUAAUCCUUGAAGGUUGACAGGAUUUCAUCUCCAUCAGUUGGAUUUCAAGAUUCCAAAGCAGGCCUCAAAGUUGUCUUGGCAAUGCACAACAUCCAUGUAUUGCCAUUGUGCAAUUAAAAUGUAAGCCAGCUGUAAAAUUGACAUGUUUACAGAUCAUAUUUGAUGUGA